rnacentral:rRNA from 1 species
CAAGGGAGCUUUGCUGGGAGUGCUCCACCUGAUCCCAUUUCGAACUCAGAAGUGAAAUCUCCCAAGGCCGAUGAUAGUCCUUCGGGGCGAAAGUAGGUAGCUCUCUUAC